AAGACUCGCAGUUAGAUGGCUUCGUCCAGCAUUCUCUCCCUCUCCUUCUUCUUCUUCUUCUUCUUCUCCCUUCUUGUCACCCUCUCCCAUGCCGCCACCUUCGAGAUCGUGAACCGAUGCUCUUACACAGUGUGGGCCGCGGCCGUGCCUGGCGGCGGACGCCAGCUCAACCAGGGGCAGUCGUGGACCAUCAACGUGAACGCGGGAACCACCGGCGGCCGCAUCUGGGGCCGCACCGGCUGCUCCUUCGACGGGAGCGGACGCGGGCGGUGCCAGACGGGCGACUGCGGCGGCGUGCUGUCAUGCACGGCGUACGGCAGCCCGCCCAACACCCUGGCGGAGUUCGCGCUCAACCAGUUCAACAACCUCGACUUCUUCGACAUCUCCCUGGUCGACGGCUUCAACGUGCCAAUGGACUUCAGCCCCACGUCAGGCGGCUGCCGCGGCAUCCGGUGCGCGGCGGACAUCAACGGGCAGUGCCCCGGGGCGCUGAAGGCGCCGGGCGGCUGCAACAACCCCUGCACCGUGUUCAAGACGGACCAGUACUGUUGCAACUCCGGCAGCUGCAGCCCGACCGACUACUCCCGGUUCUUCAAGAGAAACUGCCCCGACGCCUACAGCUAUCCCAAGGACGAUCAGACGAGCACCUUCACCUGCCCCGGCGGCACCAACUACAGGGUUGUCUUCUGCCCUUGAGAUCACUGACGCCACUAAUAAGCCGCCCUCGUGCAGGCAACCACGCAUAUAGAUAUAUAUACUAGUCUCCUACAAUACAAAUAAGAUGUCAAGAGUGAUGGAAGGUAUUAGCCUUCUCUUGGGCUAAUACUGUUGACUGAUGUAAUAGAAGUGGUGCAACCAACUAAUAAGAUGCAUAAUAUCAUCACAGCAUGAGUGCUUUUCCAUUGAUGUUUGAAUCAUUUUGUGAGAGCAAUCAGCUUAUGCAAUCAGCAAAAAGAAUAAUUAAACCAUUUCUAUUUAUGUCUUGUUGGCUUAAAACAUGAAUUGAUUUUGAAACAUAAUGAACCCUACAUAUAUAACUUCAUAAAAGAUAUCUCAAGGACCAUACAUUAUACAUACAUAUAUACAUAUAUAUACAUAUAUAUACACAUAUAUAUAUACAUAUAUAUACACAUAUAUAUACAUAUAUAUAUAUAUACAUAUACAUAUAUAUAUAUAUAUNNNNNNNNNNNNNNNNNNNNUAUGUAUAUAUAUAUAUGUAUAUAUAUAUAUAUCAUUUAGGAUGAUGAGUCAUCGCCUAUCCAAUUUGGACCUCUGCCAUUCUCCGUAGAAACUUUGCGUAGCCAUUUUCCAAUACAAUUGCGCGUUGACCAGAGUGCGUCCAUGUGAUCCUCCCCGGUAAGUUUGGUGCCCGAAAUUAUCCGGCAAGUAUGGCUUUAAAUAUUGGAAUUAGUUGCUCUUUGUUUUACGUAGGCCGAUCAAGAUGAACAGAGAGAAUGAUGCUGACUAAUUGAGCCCUGACCAAUCGAGGGCUUCAGGACUCGAGCCCCGACGCGCCCUCGGGAAGCUGCCGCGGGAGGCGGACAUCGAUGGGCAGUGCCCGCAGGUGUUGAGGGCGCCGCGGCGGGUGCACCGCUCGACCGUGUCCAAGGCGGACCGGUACUGCUGCAGCUCCUGCAACUGUGCGUCAAGCGGCUACUUCAGCUUCUUGAGGAGGAACUGCACCGAUGGCUAUAUCUUCCCACAACCUUACGGCCUGGCUUCCACCACUAGUUUCUACGGUAGUCUUCCUCCUCCAAGAGUCGAAUUCAGCUUCCUACAAGAUUAUAAUGAUGGUUUGUAUCAAUUAGUUGUUAAAUUGUAUUUUGGAACCUAAUACAUAUUUUAAAUAUAAAUUCAUAUUUAAAGUUUCUUUAACAUCACAUUUGUCAUGAAUAUAGUGUCAGUAAAUGCUUAAAUUCUGAAACUAUCUUAGAAUAAUUAUAACAUCUCGAGUAAUCUCACAUAAAAAAUGAAUAAGAUUAAAAUUAACUUAUGAUAGUAUAUUACUAUCAAUAUUAAUUUGAAUAUUUUGAUUGCUUGGAUUCAAGAAAAUUGAUAAGUCAAUUAGUUAAUCAAUUGUGACAUUCGAUAUCAAAUUAGUAUUAGGAUAUAGUAUAAUCAAAUUACUAUUAGCGUAUCGUGAGUGAGCUUCGUACUCGUUCAUUGUGAAGUCAUCUUGGGCUAUGUCUUACAUGCCGCGCUAUAUUGAGUCUUUGACAAUGAUUAAUUUUUUUUUUAUAGUUCACACAUAAAAAUAGAUUUUGAACUAUUUAAUUUUAAAAAUCAUAUUAUUUAUUAUAAAAUAUAUUUAUUAAAAUUUAAUUAACUAAUAAAAUUAUUAACUUAUUCACAUAAUUAAGAAAAUCAAUUUUAAUCAUUUUCUUAGCCAUACUAUACAAACAAAAUCACAAUGUAUAUAUUUUUCUUAAAUUUUUAUCUUAAAUGCAUGUUGCUAAUUAUAAUACUUGAUUUAUAUUUAGAUUUAUAUGAUAGUUGAUUAAAAAUAUUAUUUCUUCUCUUAUGUAAUUUUAUCUUUUUAAUAAUCUAUUGUUUAUUAUAUUUUAAUGACUCAAUGCUUGGGAUUAGAUGUUUUUUACUAUAAUUUCAUAAUGCUAUAAUUUAGAAUUGAAGAAAUUGAUUAGGAUUUGGGUUAUAUCUCACACGUACAAUCUUAGAGUUUGAGUUGGGUUUUAAUAAGGAUCAUUUAUUUUUUAUAUAAUAUUUAUUUCCUAUGAUUCACACAUAAAAAUAAAAUUUAAAUUAUUUACUUUCUAAAAAUUGCAUCACUCGUUGAGAAACGAAUCAAUUAAUAAUUUAAUUAAUUUAGUAAUCAUAUUACAUAAAUAAAAUCAUAAUGUGUAGUAUUUUAAAAUUUUUUAUCUUACAUGCAUGAUGCACGAUGAUAAUUAUAAUCCUUGGUUUCUAUUAUAUUUAUAUAGUAAUUUAUUAAAAAUAUUAUUUUCUCACUAAUGUAAUUUUAUUUUAAAAUUUAUUACUAUUUAUUAUGUUUUUAAUGACUCAAUACUAAUGAUCAGAUAUUCUAAUUAGUAGUCAUAUUAGUAAUCAUUAAGAAAUUUAAUUUAAAUUAUUUCAGUAAUAAUAUUACAUAAAUAAAAUCAUAAUGUGUAGUAUUUUUAAAAUUGUUAUCUUACAUGCAUGAUGCAUGAUGAUAAUUAUAAUACUUGGUUUCUAUUAGAUUUAUAUAAUAAUUUAUUAAAAUAUUAUUUUCUCACUUAUGUAAUUUUAGUUUUAAAAUUUAUUACUAUUUAUUAUGUUUUUAGUGACUCAAUACUAAUGAUCAGAUAUUCUAAUUAUAUUUUUUAUAUUUUAAAAUUAAGAGAAUUGAUUAAGAUUUAAGUUGAAAUCAACAAACAAUUAGAGCUAACCCAUAGGCUAGCCACAACUCGUAGAUUAAGCUCAGCAAGCAAGUCAACCCAUAGCCUAUAGGACUCCAAUAUGAUCAGUUAUGUAAUGUACAGACCAAGUCAGAUUUCAUAAACUUAGAUAGAUUCAAGGUAAUUCUAAACUUAUUUAGUCUAUUCAUGUCUAUCUAAUCUAAAUCGAACUCAAUCUAGUCCAAAGUAUACAAGUCUAAGAUGAUUCUAGACUGAUUAAAUGAGAAUUAAAAAUCGAUUUUAUUAUACUAGAGUUAAAUCGAGUUCAAUUGAUUUUAAUUAAACUCGUUUAGAUCGAUUAAGUUCUAGUUAAAUCAGGUUCAAUUAGACCGAUUGAGUUAAGUUAGAUAAAACCUAGGGAUAUGAGUUAUAAAUAAUAUUCAUCAAAUUUCUUCAAUCUAAUUUAUGCUAAAAUAGUUCAAUAAUAAAAAAUAAUAACUGCAAUAAUUAUUGAAUGUUAAUCAGUAUAAUGAAAAAUUCAUAUAAUAACUAUAAUUAUGAUAAGUCAUGAAUUAUAUUUUUAUAUAAUUUUCAAACAUAUUAUAUAAAUAAUCAAAUAAAUAUCCAAGAAAAAUAAUUAGAUUUUUAUUUAUCACAUGCAAAAUUUUAUCAAUAUGACAAAUAAGAAAAUUAUUAAAGAAAAAUCAUAAUUUAUAUUUUUAAAAUUUUGUAUGAACCCUUAUACCAAUCAACCCUAUUUAAUUAGGUAAGCCCAUAAUUGGACUACCUAAAUUGGGCUAACAAUUUGCCUAAUUAGACCCAUUAAGAUUAAAGUUGAUCAAAAUAAAAAAAAGAUCAAAAAUAACUUUUUUUUAAUUUGAUCAAAAACUUAAUUGGUCGAAUUUAAAUCCAACCAAAUAGUUAAAAUAUAGUAAUGAUUAAGCUCGUUUAAAAGAUUUGAUUAAAAUAAAUCAAAUUAAUAAAUUUUAUAAUUGAGGGCAUAUCUCAAAAUAUUUUAAUUCAAAAGGGUAAAACUAUAAUUUUACUGGGAUAUGUAGAGAAAAUAUCUAAUUUCUGAAGAAUAUAAUUAUCAAAAGGACACAAGUUGAAAUUAAAAGACUUUAUAAGAAUAAAUUUAUAAUUUUAAAAAUAAAUCCUAAUCUUUCACCCAGAAAGGCUCUCUCGCAUUUGUCAUUGGUUCCACCAUGCCCACACGCAAAAGUCAACACCGCAGUGUUCGCCCACCACCUGCAUGGACAACGAGGCAGUUGUCCUUAUGCAUUCAAACGAUAACCUCAUCGGUCGUCGCGUUGUGCCAUGCUCAUGAGUGGCUAUUAUCAUCGUGCGCUUGACUAUAACACUUCAAAAACAAUAUGUAUGUCACUGACCGGAAGCUAUCGCGUAGUUACGCACACAUGCCGAUCGAUAACCCCCAGAAUCACUUUGAUGUGUGACUGUGCUCGCUUGUCUUGCUACAUAGUCGUUGGGAACAAUGGCUUUCAGUGUCCAAUCGAUGUUGACCAUGGCCAACAAGCACUACCACAGUGGUAUUACUGUAACCAUUGUACGUAGUGAAGCUAUAUAGCCACUAUAGGUGCAUGCGCACAUAGUGGCACUGUUACAAUCAUCGCACUUAGUAUUAUACCCCAUGGUGCUUCCAUUAGGUACGCAAUUGCUACUCGCGAUUGAACUAAUGACAAUCAAAAGUUGUCGCUCUUAACCAUAUUGUUAUCGACAAUAAGCUAGUCACAGUGAUCCAUUGAUCAAGUACGAGAAAAUUCAUAUCUCCCACAAAUAGGUGAUAAGAUCGAUUAAAUAGAAAAAUAGAUCAAUAAUAUAUAUGAAUCAUUCAUACAUCGUAAAUAAAAAAUUGAAUAACACUUUUUCAUAAGCCAAAGAUGCUAACAAAUAUAUCUAAAAUAAUUUAUUUUACAAACAUGACUCUGAUAUCAAUUGUAAGUAUAAAAACCAUCCUUAUGCUAUUGUUAUGCAGAAAACUUUAACACCAAAAUCUAAAAUCAAAUAAUAAUAGAUAAGAUUCAUGAUACGUACAUUUUGAUGCUAGUUAAAAAAGCUCUUAUAUGAUCUAUAGGUACACCAUCGUUGGAUCUGAAAGUUAUAGUAAUAUCGAUCUAUAAGAAGAAUUAGACUCAUCGUUUUCUCAUUUUCUAUCCUUUAUAGGACCACUACAAUGGAUUUAGAGACUAAGGGGAGAUGAGAGAAGAUUUAUAAUUUCUCACUGACUUAUUCACAAAAAUUUAUAAUUUUUUAAUAAUAUUUUGUAAACACGUAUCGUUUUUAUCUUCUUAUAGUAUUUCUAGGUGAGAAUAGAAAAUCUAUGAUAAGUAAUGAAUAGGGUCUUUCUAAUCAAAAUCUAUCUCUUAACGAAUUUUAUGAUAAUUUAAUUUUUUAUCAAUCUAUAAUCAUAAUUAAAAUUUAAUCAUAUCUAUAAUAUAUCUUAAAUAAAUAAUUAGUGAUAUAUAAUCUGACACCUCUCUCUUCUCUCCCUUAUAAAUUCCCCACCUCUCCACCCCUCGGAUCUGCACAACACAGAGCACGAAGCCUAAGACUCGCCGUUAGAUGGCUUCGUCAAGCAUUCUCUCCCUCUCCUUCUUCUCCCUUCUUGUCACCCUCUCCCAUGCCGCCAACUUCGAGAUCGUGAACCGAUGCUCUUACACAGUGUGGGCCGCGGCCGUGCCCGGCGGCGGACGCCAGCUCAACCAGGGGCAGUCGUGGACCAUCAACGUGAAAGCGGGAACGACCGGCGGCCGCAUCUGGGGCCGCACAGGCUGCUCCUUCGACGGGAGCGGCCACGGGCGGUGCCAGACGGGCGACUGCGGCGGGUUGCUGGCGUGCACGGCGUACGGUAGCCCGCCCAACACCCUGGCGGAGUUCGCGCUCAACCAGUACAGCAAC
rnacentral:lncRNA from 1 species